rnacentral:lncRNA from 1 species
ACUUGGCAGAAAUUUGAGCGGUAAAAAAAAGGCAUGGUUGUGGGCCCCAUGUGGCAUGGUUGCUCGACAUGACGGGCAGUCACGUUAACUAGCAGUAAGUUUGGUGCCAACUACAUAUAAUGUGUAUCUCACUACGCGCUGUGCACGCAUUGUUACAUCCAAAAUGCAAUUAAGGCAAAUAGGUGUUAGAUACAGAAACAGGAUAGGAG